AUUGAACGCUGGCGGCAGGCCUAACACAUGCAAGUCGAACGAGUGGCGGACGGGUGAGUAAUGUCUGGGAAUCUGCCUGAUGGAGGGGGAUAACUACGGGAAACGGUAGCUAAUACCGCAUACCAUCGGAUGUGCCCAGAUGGGAUUAGCUAGUUGGUGGGGUAAAGGCUCACCAAGCCGACGAUCCCUAGCUGGUCUGAGAGGAUGACCAGCCACACUGGAACUGAGACACGGUCCAGACUCCUACGGGAGGCAGCAGUGGGGAAUAUUGCACAAUGGGCGCAAGCCUGAUGCAGCCAUGCCGCGUGUAUGAAGAAGGCCUUCGGGUUGUAAAGUACUUUCAGUGGGGAGGCGUUAACCGCAGAAGAAGCACCGGCUAACUCCGUGCCAGCAGCCGCGGUAAUAC
rnacentral:rRNA from 1 species